rnacentral:tRNA from 1 species
GGGCUGGGGCUCAGUGGUAGAGUGCUCGCCUUGUAAGUGUGAGGCACUGAGUUCGAUCCUCAGCACCACA